UCAUUGCAAAAAUGUAAUACUUCUUUAUUAUAUGGUCCACCUUUCAUACUCACAAAAUGCCUAGGAGCACGUGUUAGAGCUGGCUCUUAGCUAAGAGCCCACUUACCUUCUCUCUCCUCUUCUCUUUCCUCUAACUAAACAAAAAUAUAUUAGUUUAUUCCUUAUAGCCAGCUGACUCAGCUCUAUUGUACUUGCUCUCACCAUGCUUCGUUCUCCUCGCAGCUCCCCAUAAACGGCAAGCUUGUCAGUUUGUCUUGGAUAACGACACUCUCGAAGCCCUAUGUCGACCGCAUCGCCCCCGACAUCGGCAAGGACCCAAACCUCAUCCCAUUUCUGAAGUUACUGAAAGAUGUGUGAUGUAACUAAAACAAAAAAA
rnacentral:lncRNA from 1 species